rnacentral:tRNA from 1 species
GAAGAUAUAGCUUAGUGGUAGAGUGUGUGUUUGGCAUGCAUGAGGUCCUGGGUUCAAUCCCCAGUGCCUCCA